rnacentral:rRNA from 1 species
UGCCCUUCGGGGCUUCUUGGUGAUUCUUAAAAACUUCUCGAAUCCCAUGGCCUUGCUCCGGCUAUGGUUCAUUCAAAUUUCUGCCCUAUCAACUUUCGAUGGCAGGGUCUUGGCCUGCCAUGGUUACAACGGGUAACGGAGGGUUAGGGCUCGACCCCGGAGAAGGAGCCUGAGAAACGGCUACUACAUCCAAGGAAGGCAGCAGGCGCGCAAAUUACCCAAUCCCGACUCGGGGAGGUAGUGACAAUAAAUACUGAUACAGGGCUCUUUUGGGUCUUGUAAUUGGAAUGAGUACAAUUUAAAUCCCUUAACGAGGAACAAUUGGAGGGCAAGUCUGGUCCAGCAGCCGCGGUAAUUCCAGCUCCAAUAGCGUAUAUUAAAGUUGUUGCAGUUAAAAAGCUCGUAGUUGAACCUUGGGCCUGGCUGGCCGGUCCGCCUCACCGCGUGCACUGGUUCGGCCGGGCCUUCCCUCUGGGGAACCGCAUGCCCUUCACUGGGUGUGUGGGGACCAGGACUUUUACUGUGAAAAAAUUAGAGUGUUCAAAGCAGGCUAUGCUCGAAUACAUUAGCAUGGAAUAAUAGAAUAGGACGUGUGGUUCUAUUUUGUUGGUUUCUAGGACCGCCGUAAUGAUUAAUAGGGACAGUCGGGGGCGUCAGUAUUCCGUUGUCAGAGGUUAAAUUCUU